rnacentral:rRNA from 1 species
AUUGAACGCUGGCGGCAUGCCUAACACAUGCAAGUCGAACGGCAGCACGAUGUGUAGCAAUACACAUGGGUGGCGAGUGGCGGACGGGUGAGUAGAAAGUAGGGAUCUGCCUUAUAGAUUGGGAUAACUUGGGGAAACUCGAGCUAAUACCGGAUAAGCACUACGGUGGAAAGCAUGGGACCGAAAGGCCAUGCGCUAUAAGAUGAACCUACGCGGAUUAGCUAGUUGGUUAGGUAAAGGACUGACCAAGGCGAAGAUCCGUAGCUGGUCUGAGAGGAUGAUCAGCCACACUGGGACUGAGACACGGCCCAGACUCCUACGGGAGGCAGCAGUGGGAAUAUUGGACAAUGGGCGCAAGCCUGAUCCAGCAAUGCCGCGUGAGUGAGGAAGGCCUUAGGGUUGUAAAGCUCUUUCACCCGCGACGAUGAUGACGGUAGCGGGAGAAGAA